AUGCUCAUACAACAGGUGGAAGAGCCCCCCUUAUAAGGUGGUGCAAACUCUCUUCAACUAGUAAUGUGGGACUAAACUUAUGUCCCACCUCUUGCCACACAUGAAUGUGUCAACAUGGGCCUUUUUGAUUUUUCCAGGAAUUUAUUGGACUAUAAAUUAAAUAGUGGGCUGGGCCACAAUUAUUCCGACAAUCCCCCACCAGAUCACAAAGGCACAUAAGAUUUGCCUAUGGUUCCAAAAACAUUGUUUAAUAUACCGGUGCUGCAGUGGAGACUGUUAAGUUGAACUUCCACCUAGGACUUUAUGUUACACUAGUUGCAACUUGAACAGUGGACGGUGCCUUGAACUGCAAGUUUUUCUGCGAACCUAGUUUCACACAAAGCCUUGACCGAUACUAGGCUACCGCAGGACUUCCCCGCGGGUGGAGCUUAUGCAUCAUACUCCGAGGCCUUCCAUGAGUUUAUUAGAGAGCACCCUAACUCUCACGGACUAAGACGUUUAACAGUCAAGCUCAUAUAGGUGUGUUCUUCAAAAGAUGUUCUGCAGGACAACAUCUCUGCUUGUAAAAGCCUCUUAGAACACAUUAAGAUAAAUAUCAACCUGCCAUGCAGAAUAGGAGAGUAUUGCAUCUUCACGGAGAGGUAAAUUUUUAAGGAUACUCUCCUCUCGGUUGACCAACAGCUUGUCUCCCACUUCUAAUUCACGGGAUCUCCGAUCACAUAGAGUGGUUUACCACCGUGGACAACUCAAAAUGUGGGUCUCGUACCCAUCUCCUUCGAUGCAUUAUCUAUCACACUGCCUGAUAGACCCUUUGUGAAGGGGUCUGCCAAAUUUUUAGAUGUAUGGAUAUAAUCCAACGUAAUAACUCUGGAGUUUCUCAUUUUUCUGACAGAUUUUAAUCUCUUCUUCACAUGCCUUGAGGACUUCAUAUUAUCCUUAGAACUGUUCACUUUGAUGAUAACAGUUUGAUUAUCACAGUUCAUAAGGAUAGUGGGUAUUGGUUUUUCAACCACAGGUAAGUCCAUCAAGAGCUGACGAAGCCACUCUGCUUCAACAGUGGCUGUGUCUAAUGCUGUGAGUUCCGCUUCCAUAGUUGACCUCGUUAAGAUGUUGUUUCUUGCAAGACUUCCAAGAAACAUUGCCACCACCAAGUGUAAACACAUAUCCACUUGUGGCCUUAAUCUCAUCAGCAUCAGAUAUCCAGUUUGAAUCACUAUAACCCUCAAGUACCCUUAGAUACCCAUUAUAGUGAAUGCCAUAGCUCGCAGUGCCUUUUAGAUAGUGUAAAACUCUUUAAAGAGCAUGCCAAUGAUCAUCGCCCGAAUUAGAGACAAAUCGACUAAGUUUGCUCACAGUGAAAGCGAUGUCAGGCCUCGUAGCGCUAGCUAAAUACAUAAGCGAGCCAAUAACUUGAGAGUAUCUCAGUUGAUCUCUAGCACUUCUUUGAUUUUUCCGAAGAAGCACGGUAGGAUCAUACGGGGUAGGAGAAGGCUUGCAGUCGCUAUAUCCAAAACGACUCAAAAUAUUCUCCACAUAGUGAGACUGAAGCAAAGUAAUCCCACCAUGGUCAUCUCUCAACAGCUUGAUGUUCAAAAUAACAUCAGCUACUCCAAGAUCCUUCAUCUCAAAACAUCGAGAUAAGAAAUCCUUGACCUCCUUGAUCAUAAUGAGGUUGGUUCCAAAUAUCAGUAUGUCAUCAACAUACAAACAAAGAAUAACUCUCUCGCCCCCACCAUGGCGAUAGUUCACACACUUAUCGGCUUCGUUCACAACAAAGCCCGCGGCAGUUAAGGUUCUUCCAAACUUCUCGUGCCACUGCUUAGGGGCUUGCUUAAGACCAUAUAAAGAUUUCACCAACUUGCACAGCUUUCCUUCUUGGUCUACUACAAAACCAUCUGGCUACUCCAUAUAAAUUUUCUCAUCUCACUCUCCAUUUAGGAAAGCUGUCUUAACGUCCAUUUGAUGAACGAGAAGACCAUGUGAGGCAGCCAAUGAUAGUACUACUCGAAUGGUGGUCAAUCUGGCCACUUGUGAGUAAGUACCAAAGAAAUCUUUACCUUCCUUUUGGGUGUAACCCUUGGCCACAAGCCGUGCCUUAUAUUUCUCAAUUGUACCAUCAGGUCUAAGCUUCUUCUUGAACACCCAUUUACAUCCGACAGGUUUGCACCCAUAAGGACGAUCAGUUAUCUCCCAAGUUCCAUUAGCCAAGAUAGAGUCCAUCUCACUACGGACAGCUCCUUCCAGUAGUCGCCAUCUGGAGAAGCAUAUGCUUCCAAAAUGGAACUAGGAGUAUCAUCCACGAGGUACACGAUCAGGUCCAAGCUGAGCGAGGUCGUCCGCCAAUUCUCUACUCCGGCCGACGCUGCACCAGAUCAUAUUUAGCGCUCUGCAAAAAUAUGUAGUUCGCUGCUGUGUGCUCAGCUUGUAACCGCCCCCCCUCCCCCCGUCCUGCUGUUCUCUUUUUCAUACUUCUUCACUAUCUUGUUGUUGAACAUGUUUGUUACAGACCUGGUUUCAUAAAUCUAAGGAGCCGCAAGGCCUCCUGUUGAUCUUUAAAAAAAUCAUCACCAAAAGACUUUGCAGUCCUCUGUCUCUUACUCCUCUUAGGAGCUUCAAUGUCAUCCUCCUCAAUAUUUCCAGAGUGUUUGAUCGGAAUUGUAGGUUCGGGAAUUGAAACAAAUUGCGGACUAGAUGAACUCGACAUCUCCUGAAUUGAUGAGCUAGGCUUAUCCUUCAUAGGAAAGAUAUUCUCAAAGAAAGUCACAUCAUUUGAUUCCAUAAUUGUACCCACAUUCAUGUCAGCUACCUCAGAUUUUACAAGAGGAAUCUAUAACCGAUGUUAUGAAAAGCAUAUCCUAGAAAAACACAAUCAACGGUUUUGGGUCCAAGUUUGCGCUUCUUGGGGAUUGGCAGAUUGAUUUUCGCCAAACAACCCCAAAUUCGUAAGUAAGAGAGUUUUAACCUUUUUAUUCUCCCAUUCUUCAAAUGGAGAUCUCUUUGUUCUUUCUGAGAACUCAGUUUAGGACAUGACACGCGAUCAAUAUCGCUUCCCCCCACCAUGCCUGAGAGAUGUUAGCAUAAUCUUGAGUUUGAGUCUAGCUAGGCGCAUGUGUGUGUGUCCUAAUGGGAUUAGGAUUAGAGUCCUAGUCCUAGUUUUGUUAGCUGAGUGUGUAUUCGUGUAGGAUACUAGUCCGUGUGUGGUUAGAUGUUGCGCUUGUACGUGUGUAUAUAUACACAUGUACACCCAUAGCUUGUAACCAAGCCGUGAGAUAUUGAGGAGAAAUAAAAAUAGAGGGCACGAUACGGGCCUUUGGCCAAAUAAAUUUCUGAUCGUGUGCGUCUUCAUGUGAUUGAUCUUUGGGCAAACCCAACGUUUGGUAUCAGAGCGAGGUCCAAGAUUUGAAGACGCGCUUGCCCCGGGGAGGCGAUGUGCUAGCGCCUCGGGGCGGGCAACGGAGUGGAGCAGCUUUCUGUGGAUUGGGUCGAGUUGUCAUCACACGGUGGGCCGAUCUCCUAGUGACGGGGGAUCAUAGUACUGAUAGCCGGGUCGACUUCCUCUUGAAGUUGGUAGACUGUGAGGGCUUGUACUCCCAUCAAACUUUGGUUUGUCAUCAAACCUGUCUUGUUCUUGGGUUUGUGGGAUUGGGAGUUAUUCUUCUGUACGAAGUUGGCACUAGAACCUCCUUCAGUACCUCGAGCACGUGUGUCUUUUGCUCUCGCCUUCUUUUCCACAUCAAGAGUCCCAAUGAGAUCCGUCACGGAAAACUCUUGUCUCUUGUGUUUGAGAGAAGUAGCAAAAUGCCUCCAUGAUGGAGGAAGCUUGGCAAUGAUGCCUCCACCAACAAACUUGUAUGGUAACACACAAGUGAAGUGCUCAAGCUCCUUGGCAAGUGACUGUAUUUCGUGAGCCUACUCCACGAUGGGGCGGUCCUCAACCAUCUUAUGGUCAUAGAAUUGCUCCAUGACAUACAGUUCACUGCCAGCGUUGGAGACUCCACAUUUUCUCUCGAGCGCAUCCCACAUGUCCUUGCCAUUGUUAAAUGACAGGUAUGAAUCAACAAUAUUGUCGCCAAGAAUGCUGAUCAAAGCAGCCUUGAAAGUGGUAUCAAGCUUUUGAAAAGCCUCCUCCUCAGCAGGAGUAUGGUCUCCCUCAGGAAGGCCAUAGAUGGCGCUAUAGCAGCUCAUGGUCUGAAACCAGAGCACUGCCCUCGCACGCCACCUCUUAUAAUUGACACCUUCAAACACAGGUGGCUUCAUGGAAGCAGCAAAACCACUUGGGGUAAAUUGCCUAAAAUAAGGUUUUUGGAUUGAUGGAAAUAUGAGCAAUUUACCACAAGAUUUAAUAGAUAAAAACAGUAAAUAAAACAUGUGGAAUAUUGCAACCAUGAAUAAUUCGCUACAAGAAUUAAUCAACAUAAAUAGUGGGUAAAACAUGACUAGAUCAAACACAGUAGUCAUGCAAGCAUAUGAACAAAACACAUCUAAGGCAAGAACUAAACAAACGAAUUGCAGCAUGGUCUCAAGUAUGGGAAACAGUGACACGUACGGUGCAGAGGCGGAACCGCUCGUGUUUCCGUUGCCAGUCAUGUUGAUGCCGAGGAUGUCGUCGACCUCCGGAAAGAAGUCGUCGUCGGGGAAGGAGUCGUCGGAGUCCAGUGCGUUCGCGGUGAAGAGGAAGGAGCCUGUAGUCGCGCGUAGCACUCCCCAAAAACCUUAUAGCCCUUCUCCCGUACAGGACUCGAAGAGGCGGGGUUCCGGAGGCCUACUGUCCCGACUUGCGGUGCACGCCGCAAGACGGGAUGGGGAAGAACGGAGGCAGCGCAAUGCUCUGAAACGAGAGGAGGCAGACGGGAUGGGGAAGAACGGAGGCAGCGCAAUGCUCUGGAACGAGAGGAGGCAGGUGCUCUUUCUGUGUUCUUUUGAGAGAGGAGCGACCUCUCUUAUUUAGGCACAACAGGCAGACGAACAAUAAAAACCCACUAACAAUUUGUUUCUAGAGAAGCUCUCGGCUCGAGGCAUUCCUGCAACCCGUGGCGCGUGUCGUGACGAGGCGAGGCGGGCGGCGGAGGAGCGCGUAGAAGCUCUCUUCUUCUCAUGCUCAUACAACAGGUGGAAGAGCCCCCCUUAUAAGGUGGUGCAAACUCUCUUCAACUAGCAAUGUGGGACUAAAAUUAUGUUCCACCUCUUGCCACACAUGAAUGGGUCAACAUUGGCCUUUGGGAUUUUUCCAGGAAUUUAUUAAACUAUAAAUUAAAUAGUGGGCUGGGCCACAUAAAUUCCAACAAAAUUACGAAGCUAGUAAGGCCAUGAACAGGAUUUUUAUAGUUCAAACAGCCGCUCCUGCUGCCAUGGGUGGAGGAUGGAAUUAUCUUACGUGGGACGAACUAAAGCAUGAAACACCUCCCGGCAUUCGACAGUGCUGCGAAAUUUAUAUUCAAAAAUUUGAAGGAACCUGCCAUGAAGAACAUGCACAUGCACUGCCCAAACGAUUUUUGACCUGCAUGAACUGAAAUUUUUCAUCUGGUCCAGCCGUCAUGCUUUCGACCUCGACGAUGAUCUUGGGGAGAAUAGUGGCCGAUUCCACGAAUCGAAGGCAGACAAUCAGGCAGCGUGGACAUUUUCAUUCAAAAAGUACUUUGUAUGAUUCCGCCUCUCCGGUCUCCUACUCUCCUUUGGUCCUUCCUCUCCCAGUCUCCCUCGGUGGCUGCUUCCUAGUCCCUACUUCCCUAGGCACCGAGAGACCAGAUGCGGCGAGGCUGGUUCGACGAGGGCACGAGGCAACUUUUUUUUUUUUUAGAAUAAGCACGAGGCAACUAACAUCGAUCGAUCUGGAUCCAGUAGACCAGUCUCUCGUCCCGAGCGGCCCAUGCGGUGCAUGCAGCGAUUCGUAGGCCCAAUAGACACACCGACGGCCUAACUACGGCCUCAACUCCCCCAAAUCGCGCUUUCUUUCUCUUUUCUUUCUUCAUCAACUAGUACUAGUUUUAUCCCUAAAAGAAACUACUAGUACUGUACUAGUUUU
rnacentral:lncRNA from 1 species